GCAAGAUGUGGAAGUGGUGUGAGCCAUUAAGCUAACUUGUACUAAUUACCCGUGAGGCUUAACCAUACAACGCCAAACGCGUUU
rnacentral:rRNA from 1 species